rnacentral:lncRNA from 1 species
GCCAAUGGACAACAGAAUAAGAUAUAUUAAGCCACGUGAGCUUCACGUGAUCAAUUGCUCUAUGAAUAAAUUGUAGGGUUCUUACCAUUCAGCCGCUUUGCUAUCGUCAAAUCUGCAAAAAUUAGGUUAGGAAUUAGGCCUUCAAUUCAAUCAUCAAAAUGUUCUAUUUUCUUUUCUUUUUCCAGUUCCAAUAGUGUUUCUUCGGCCUAGUUUUUAGGGUUGGGAGGGGAGAAAGGGGUGAGACAAAUAGGGGAGAGCAGUAUUUUCGUGGCUCUUAAAAUACCGAUGGGUUCUCUACAGGCUGCCCUGCCUUCCAAUUAGCCCUGCACACCAGACCCUUUAUCCAUGGCAUCAUGGUACGGGGUUUGUGUUUUUUGAUUGUUUGGUUGGUUUUAGUCGUUGGGAUGGGAUAUUUGGUCUUCUUAUACCAAUUUCCCAUCUUUCGACUUCCCCAUCAGAGAUGCUUUUCACCGCAUUCCCGCCUCCAAACGCCAUUACAUGAAUUCCUCGUUUCUUCAAUGUCUUCCUUUUCAAUGUUUAUAACCCAAAUGUGGUUUUAAUUGGUUAUGGGAAACUUUUCAUGUUGUUUUUCUUUUAAGUUUUGUUUGGAAAAAUCUAUAUCAAACAUGGCCUUGUUGAGUUGAAACUAUCUCAUACUCUGUGUCAGUCGGAUUAUCAAGAAAAAGAAUACAGUUCCACAUUUUGCCUGUAAGAGAGAGCAGAGCUUGUGCUCAUUUUUGGACCACCCGCGGUCACCUUUGGAGCUCAUAGUUAUAUAAAGCGGCAUUAGGUAAUUGCUUUGGAUCGGAGGAUUGGGUUCCAAUUGAGUUCUGUAUCACGGCUAAACACGGGGAAAUCACCAUAUGCCUUUCAUGCGGUAAGUCACACAUUGGCAUUAUGUAUGUUGAUGUGUGUGCAAGCAUUGUUUUUAUAAGGUUUUGUUGGUUCUAUAGAAAUAACUGUCGAGCUUUGAUUAAGUUUAUUCAUCAAUUUCUAUACUUGAACUCGAACUCGACUCAAUAAUUAAGUUUAUGGUUAAUAAUAUAUAUUCAGGACAAUAAUAUAAUUUAAUAAUAUGAAAAGUUUGAUGAGACUCGUUAAGUUUUCAAGUUAAGUAUUAUUAAGUUGGAAUUCAGUUUGUUCGAUAACUCAAGUUUGGGCUUGGCUUAAUUAUUACGAAAUCAAAUUCGAAUUAUUUUCGAGUUGAACAUGAGUAGCUUGUGAACACCAUUAUCUCAUUUACAUCCUUUGUCCUGGCCUUAAUUUAGCCCCAAAAUGUAAUGAACAACAAUCUUGCCGUUACUUUUUUAUCCUACUUCAAACAGGCCUCUAUAAAAUGACUUAAUCAAACUUAAAUCGAAGUUACAAUCAGAAUAAAAAUGGCAAAGAGGGUCAAAAGAUGAGUUCUAGAAAGGUGCCUUGCUUAGAAUUUUAAGUGUAAUUUGAGGUAGUAGGGGUCAGCAGUCGGAGUUGGGUUGAAAGGAGUUACUUCUUCCUUUCGGCAUACCCGUGAGACUGGUUAUCUCAUUCUUUCUUAUGAAAUAGUUAAAUUUUACUUAUAGGUUUGAUAUAUAUCCAAUAAAAACGGAAACAUCUGCUUGUAAUUGAAUUUGCUUGAUUCAUGUGUAAGUGCGGUAGCUUAAUCCUGCUCAACUAUAGAGAAUUGAAUCAAUUUCUGGCUGCAACAUUUCCCUUACCUUCUAAGCUAAUUUUUUUGGCAUAAUCACUACUCUAGCCCUCCAACUUUUUCAAAAAAAUUAUUUAACUCUUUAUUUAAUUUUUCUCUUUUAAGCAUACAUUACUUGCCAAAUUAUCUCAAAAUAGAUGGAAAAGUUAGGUGACAUACCGUGGAUUGUCACAUUAAUGACAUGUGUUUCAAUUGUACUAAAUUGUAACAAAUUAAUAAUUUUAUUAUCAUUC